rnacentral:rRNA from 1 species
UAAGGUGGUUAUAGCGACGGGGCUCACCUCUUCCCAUUCCGAACAGAGAAGUUAAGCCCGUUAGCGCAGAUGGUACUGCUUAUUGUGGGAGAGUAUGUCGCCGCCUUCU